rnacentral:rRNA from 1 species
UACGUAGGUGACAAGCGUUAUCCGGAAUUAUUGGGCGUAAAGCGCCCGCAGGCGGCUGUUCAAGUCUGACGUGAAAUCGCUCGGCUUAACUGGGCGGGGUCGUUGGAAACUGAAUAGCUUGAGGCAAGGAGAGGGGCGUGGAAUUCCCGGUGUAGUGGUGGAAUGCGUAGAGAUCGGGAGGAACACCUGUGGCGAAGGCGGCCCCCUGGGCCGGCCCUGACACUGAGACGCGAAGGCGUGGGGAGCGAACGGG